rnacentral:rRNA from 1 species
CUCCCUAACCCUUAUGUGAACCUACCUAUUGUUGCUUCGGCGGACUCGCCCCAGCCGGACGCGGACUGGACCAGCGGCCGCCGGGGACCCUCAAACUCUUGUAUUAUCAGCAUCUUCUGAAUACGCCGCAAGGCAAAACAAAUAAAUCAAAACUUUCAACAACGGAUCUCUUGGCUCUGGCAUCGAUGAAGAACGCAGCGAAAUGCGAUAAGUAAUGUGAAUUGCAGUAUCCAGUGAAUCAUCGAAUCUUUGAACGCACAUUGCGCCCGCCAGCAUUCUGGCGGGCAUGCCUGUUCGAGCGUCAUUUCAACCCUCGACCUCCCUUUGGGGAAGUCGGCGUUGGGGACCGGCAGCACACCGCCGGCCCUGAAAUGGAGUGGCGGCCCGUCCGCGGCGACCUCUGCGUAGUAAUCCAACUCGCACCGGAACCCCGACGCGGCCACGCUGUAAAACACCCAACUUCUGAACGUUGACCUCGAAUCAGGUAGGACUACCCGCUGAACUUAA